rnacentral:tRNA from 1 species
GCCUGGUUGGCUCAGUGGGUUAAAGCUUCUGCCUUCAGCUCAGGUCAUGGUCUCAAGGUCCUGGGAUCGAGCCCCGCAUCAGGCU